rnacentral:rRNA from 1 species
GGUUAAGCGACUAAGCGUACACGGUGGAUGCCCUGGCAGUCAGAGGCGAUGAAGGACGUGCUAAUCUGCGAAAAGCGUCGGUAAGGUGAUAUGAACCGUUAUAACCGGCGAUGUCCGAAUGGGGAAACCCAGUGUGAUUCGUCACACUAUCGUUAACUGAAUACAUAGGUUAACGAGGCGAACCGGGGGAACUGAAACAUCUAAGUACCCCGAGGAAAAGAAAUCAACCGAGAUUCCCCCAGUAGCGGCGAGCGAACGGGGAGCAGCCCAGAGUCUGAAUCAGCUUGUGUGUUAGUGGAACGGUCUGGAAAGUCCGACGGUACAGGGUGAUAGUCCCGUACACCAAAAUGCACAGGUUGUGAACUCGAAGAGUAGGGCGGGACACGUGGUAUCCUGUCUGAAUAUGGGGGGACCAUCCUCCAAGGCUAAAUACUCCUGACUGACCGAUAGUGAACCAGUACCGUGAGGGAAAGGCGAAAAGAACCCCGGCGAGGGGAGUGAAAAAGAACCUGAAACCGUGUACGUACAAGCAGUGGGAGCACCUUCGGGUGUGACUGCGUACCUUUUGUAUAAUGGGUCAGCGACUUAUAUUCUGUAGCAAGGUUAACCGUAUAGGGGAGCCGCAGGGAAACCGAGUCUUAACUGGGCGUUAAGUUGCAGGGUAUAGACCCGAAACCCGGUGAUCUAGCCAUGGGCAGGUUGAAGGUUGGGUAACACUAACUGGAGGACCGAACCGACUAAUGUUGAAAAAUUAGCGGAUGACUUGUGGCUGGGGGUGAAAGGCCAAUCAAACCGGGAGAUAGCUGGUUCUCCCCGAAAGCUAUUUAGGUAGCGCCUCGUGAAUUCAUCUUCGGGGGUAGAGCACUGUUUCGGCUAGGGGGUCAUCCCGACUUACCAACCCGAUGCAAACUACGAAUACCGAAGAAUGUUAUCACGGGAGACACACGGCGGGUGCUAACGUCCGUCGUGAAGAGGGAAACAACCCAGACCGCCAGCUAAGGUCCCAAAGUCACAGUUAAGUGGGAAACGAUGUGGGAAGGCACAGACAGCCAGGAUGUUGGCUUAGAAGCAGCCAUCAUUUAAAGAAAGCGUAAUAGCUCACUGGUCGAGUCGGCCUGCGCGGAAGAUGUAACGGGGCUAAACUGUGCACCGAAGCUGCGGCAGCGACACUAUGUGUUGUUGGGUAGGGGAGCGUUCUGUAAGCCUGCGAAGGUGGCCUGUGAGGGUUGCUGGAGGUAUCAGAAGUGCGAAUGCUGACAUAAGUAACGAUAAUGCGGGUGAAAAGCCCGCACGCCGGAAGACCAAGGGUUCCUGUCCAACGUUAAUCGGGGCAGGGUGAGUCGACCCCUAAGGCGAGGCCGAAAGGCGUAGUCGAUGGGAAACAGGUUAAUAUUCCUGUACUUGGUGUUACUGCGAAGGGGGGACGGAGAAGGCUAUGUUAGCCGGGCGACGGUUGUCCCGGUUUAAGCAUGUAGGCGGAGGUUCCAGGUAAAUCCGGUACCUUUUAACGCUGAGGUGUGAUGACGAGGCACUACGGUGCUGAAGUAACAAAUGCCCUGCUUCCAGGAAAAGCCUCUAAGCAUCAGGUAACAUUGAAUCGUACCCCAAACCGACACAGGUGGUCAGGUAGAGAAUACCAAGGCGCUUGAGAGAACUCGGGUGAAGGAACUAGGCAAAAUGGUGCCGUAACUUCGGGAGAAGGCACGCUGAUAUGUAGGUGAAGCCCCUGCGGGUGGAGCUGAAAUCAGUCGAAGAUACCAGCUGGCUGCAACUGUUUAUUAAAAACACAGCACUGUGCAAACACGAAAGUGGACGUAUACGGUGUGACGCCUGCCCGGUGCCGGAAGGUUAAUUGAUGGGGUUAUCCGUAAGGAGAAGCUCUUGAUCGAAGCCCCGGUAAACGGCGGCCGUAACUAUAACGGUCCUAAGGUAGCGAAAUUCCUUGUCGGGUAAGUUCCGACCUGCACGAAUGGCGUAAUGAUGGCCAGGCUGUCUCCACCCGAGACUCAGUGAAAUUGAACUCGCUGUGAAGAUGCAGUGUACCCGCGGCAAGACGGAAAGACCCCGUGAACCUUUACUAUAGCUUGACACUGAACAUUGAGCCUUGAUGUGUAGGAUAGGUGGGAGGCUUUGAAGCGUGGACGCCAGUCUGCGUGGAGCCAACCUUGAAAUACCACCCUUUAAUGUUUGAUGUUCUAACGUUGGCCCCUUAUCGGGGUUGCGGACAGUGUCUGGUGGGUAGUUUGACUGGGGCGGUCUCCUCCCAAAGAGUAACGGAGGAGCACGAAGGUUAGCUAAUCCUGGUCGGACAUCAGGAGGUUAGUGCAAUGGCAUAAGCUAGCUUGACUGCGAGCGUGACGGCGCGAGCAGGUGCGAAAGCAGGUCAUAGUGAUCCGGUGGUUCUGAAUGGAAGGGCCAUCGCUCAACGGAUAAAAGGUACUCCGGGGAUAACAGGCUGAUACCGCCCAAGAGUUCAUAUCGACGGCGGUGUUUGGCACCUCGAUGUCGGCUCAUCACAUCCUGGGGCUGAAGUAGGUCCCAAGGGUAUGGCUGUUCGCCAUUUAAAGUGGUACGCGAGCUGGGUUUAGAACGUCGUGAGACAGUUCGGUCCCUAUCUGCCGUGGGCGCUGGAGAAUUGAGGGGGCUGCUCCUAGUACGAGAGGACCGGAGUGGACGCAUCACUGGUGUUCGGGUUGUCAUGCCAAUGGCAUUGCCCGGUAGCUAAAUGCGGAAGAGAUAAGUGCUGAAAGCAUCUAAGCACGAAACUUGCCCCGAGAUGAGUUCUCCCUGAGACUUUAAGUCUCCUGAAGGAACGUUAAAGACGAUGACGUUGAUAGGUCGGGUGUGUAAGCGUAGCGAUACGUUGAGCUAACCGAUACUAAUGAACCGUGAGGCUUAACCUU